GACUGGGUUGAUAGGCCGGAUAUGGAAGCCAGGUAACUGGUGGAGUUGACCGGUACUAAUAGGCCGAGGGCUUGUCCUC
rnacentral:rRNA from 1 species